AGGGCUCUAGACCAGGGUCCACAGGGCUCUAGACCAGGGUCCACAGGGCUCUAGACCAGGGUCCACAGGGCUCUAGACCAGGGUCCACAGGGCUCUAGACCAGGGUCCAUAGGGCUCUUGACCAGGGUCCACAGUGCUCUGGUCUAAAGUAGUGCACUAUAUUGAGGAUAGGAUACCCUUUGGGAUGCAUCCCAGGUCAGUGUUGACCUGAUCACUCAUCAUUUACAUUGGAAUAAAACAUUCAGAGGUUAUGGGGCUGUCCCAUUUCACCGGUUCACUUCAAUCCAACAGCAAGUAAAUGAGAAUGUAGUGAAUAUAUAUAUCACAACCCCUGGUCUGAGCUUAAAAACAUCUUAUUUAACAAGUGAGUUUAUUUACAGAGAUGAUUCCUAGUGUCUUUGUUCACUGCUGUCCAGCUGCCCUGAUUGAAAUGACUGCUAUUAGUUCACUAAAUAAUCUAUAUAUAUUAUCAAUACCUUCUCAACACUGACCACAAGAGGUUCAGAAAACACCAGGUCUAAGAUCAGAAAACUCCAUGUCUCAGGUUAAGGAGCAGGUCAAGGAGCAGGUCUAGGAGCAGGUCUAGGAGCAGGUCAAGGAGCAGGUCUAGGAGCAGGUCUAAGAUCAGAAAACUCCAUGUCUCAGGUCAAGGAGCAGGUCUAGGAGCAGGUCAAGGAGCAGGUCAAGGAGCAGGUCUAAGAUCAGAAAACUCCAUGUCUCAGGUCAAGGAGCAGGUCAAGGAGCAGGUCUAGGAGCAGGUCUAGGAGCAGGUCAAGGAGCAGGUCAAGGAGCAGGUCUAAGAUCAGAAAACUCCAUGUCUCAGGUCUAGGAGCAGGUCAAGGAGCAGGUCUAGGAGCAGGUCUAGGAGCAGGUCUAGGAGCAGGUCUAGGAGCAGG